UUCAAAAGAAGAGUUUAUUGACUUGACGUAGCUACCUCUUGACGAGGUUGACAAAAAAAUUUACUAACAAGGAAUAGAAUGAAUUUCCAAAACAAAAUAUGAACCAUGUUAAAAUUUUGGAAGGUAUGGGAUGUACUGCAUAGGCAAAAUCAUAAGAGGAUGGAAAGAGACACCGUAUAAAAGAACAAAACAAAUAAAACGAGUGCUUACAAAAAAAUAGAAAGAUUGAUAGCUCUUCGAAAAAGUUGUUUAAA
rnacentral:sRNA from 1 species